GAAUUCGGCUUCGGUAAUUCCAGCUCCAAUAGCGUAUAUUAAAGUUGUUGCAGUUAAAAAGCUCGUAGUUGAAUUUCUGAUAGAAGGGAGCGGUUCCGCAUUCUUGCGGAUACUGGCUCGUCUUCCGUCAUCCUUGGGCUUAGUCUCGCUGAUAUUAACUUAUCGGCGUGUACGAUGCCCAUCGUUUACUGUGAGCAAAUUAGAGUGUUCAAAGCAGGCAUUUCGCCAUUGAAUAUAUUAGCAUGGAAUAAUAAGAUAGGAUUUCACGAUUUUAUUUUGUUGGUUUGCGUUGUGAAAUAAUGAUUAAGAGGGACAGUUGUGGGUAUUCGUAUUCAGAUGUCAGAGGUGAAAUUCUUAGAUUAUCGGAAGACGAACGACUGCGAAAGCAUUUACCAAGGAUGUUUUCAUUAAUCAAGAACGAAAGUAUGGGGAUCGAAGAUGAUUAGAUACCAUCGUAGUCUAUACCAUAAACUAUGCCGACUCAGGAUCGGCGGGUCAAUUUUUUUUGCUCGUCGGCACUGUAUGAGAAAUCAAAGUCUUUGGGUUCCGGGGGGAGUAUGGUCGCAAGGCUGGAACUUAAAGAAAUUGACGGAAGGGCACCACCAGGAGUGGAACCUGCGGCUUAAUUUGACUCAACACGGGAAAACUUAUCAGGUCCAGACAUAAUGAGGAUUGACAGAUUGAGAGCUCUUUCUUGAUUUUAUGGGUGGCGGUGCAUGGCCGUUCUUAGUUGGGGAGUGAUUUGUCUGGUUAAUUCCGCUAACGAACGAGACCCCAGCCUGCUAAAUAAUCACGCGAAUGAUUCUUCAUUGGCGAUGGUUUCUUAGAGGGACAUGUUCGAACAACGAACAGGAGGAUUGGGGCAAUAACAGGUCUGUGAUGCCCUUAGAUGUUCUGAACCGCACGCGUGUUACACUGAUGCAUUCAACGAGCUAUUAACCUUGGCCGAGAGGCCUGGGAAAUCUUGGAACGUGCAUCGUGAUAGGGAUUGAUUAUUGCAAUUUUUAAUCAUGAACGAGGAAUUCCUAGUAAACGCAGAUCAUCAAUCUGCAUUGAUUACGUCCCUGCCCUUUGUACACACCGCCCGUCGCACCUACCGAUUGAGUGACUCGAUGAAGGCUCGGGAUUGUGGUUAUUGCUUUCAUUAGGAAUUACUGCGAGAACUUGUCUGAAUCUCGCCACUUAGAGGAAGGUGAAGUCGUAACAAGGUAAGCCGAAUUC
rnacentral:rRNA from 1 species